GACGAACGCUGGCGGCGUGCCUAAUACAUGCAAGUCGAGCGCAGGAAAUCGACGGAACCCUUCGGGGGGAAGUCGACGGAAUGAGCGGCGGACGGGUGAGUAACACGUAAAGAACCUGCCCUCAGGUCUGGGAUAACCACGAGAAAUCGGGGCUAAUACCGGAUGGGUCAUCGGACCGCAUGGUCCGAGGAUGAAAGGCGCUUCGGCGUCGCCUGGGGAUGGCUUUGCGGUGCAUUAGCUAGUUGGUGGGGUAAUGGCCCACCAAGGCGACGAUGAAUAGCCGACCUGAGAGGGUGAUCGGCCACACUGGGACUGAGACACGGCCCAGACUCCUACGGGGUGCAGCAGUAGGGAAUCUUCCACAAUGGACGAAAGUCUGAUGGAGCAACGCCGCGUGAGCGAUGAAGGCCUUCGGGUCGUAAAGUUCUGUUGUAAGGGAAGAACAAGUGCCGCAGGCAAUGGCGGCACCUUGACGGUACCUUGCGAGAAAGCCACGGCUAACUACGUGCCAGCCGCCGCCGUAA
rnacentral:rRNA from 1 species